CCUACGGGGGGCAGCAGUGAGGAAUAUUGGUCAAUGGACGAGAGUCUGAACCAGCCAAGUAGCGUGAAGGAUGACUGCCCUAUGGGUUGUAAACUUCUUUUAUAAAGGAAUAAAACGAGGCACGUGUGCCUUUUUGCAUGUACUUUAUGAAUAAGGAUCGGCUAACUCCGUGCCAGCAGCCGCGGUAAUACGGAGGAUCCGAGCGUUAUCCGGAUUUAUUGGGUUUAAAGGGAGCGUAGAUGGGUUGUUAAGUUAGUGGUGAAAGUUUGCGGCUCAACCGUAAAAUGGCAAUUGAUACUGGCAGUCGUGAGUACAGUUGAGGUAGGCGGAAUGCGUGGUGUAGCGGUGAAAUGCUUAGAUAUCACGAAGAACCCCGAUUGCGAAGGCAGCUUACUAAACUGUGACUGACAUUGAUGCUCGAAAGUGUGGGUAUCAAACAGGAUUAGAUACCCUUGUAGUC
rnacentral:rRNA from 1 species